AGAGUUUGAUCCUGGCUCAGGAUGAACGCUGGCGGCGUGCCUAACACAUGCAAGUCGAGCGAAGCACUUUGCUUAGAUUCUUCGGAUGAAGAGGAUUGUGACUGAGCGGCGGACGGGUGAGUAACGCGUGGGUAACCUGCCUCAUACAGGGGGAUAACAGUUGGAAACGGCUGCUAAUACCGCAUAAGCGCACAGUACCGCAUGGUACGGUGUGAAAAACUCCGGUGGUAUGAGAUGGACCCGCGUCUGAUUAGCUAGUUGGUAAGGUAACGGCUUACCAAGGCGACGAUCAGUAGCCGACCUGAGAGGGUGACCGGCCACAUUGGGACUGAGACACGGCCCAAACUCCUACGGGAGGCAGCAGUGGGGAAUAUUGCACAAUGGGGGAAACCCUGAUGCAGCGACGCCGCGUGAGUGAAGAAGUAUUUCGGUAUGUAAAGCUCUAUCAGCAGGGAAGAAAAUGACGGUACCUGACUAAGAAGCCCCGGCUAACUACGUGCCAGCAGCCGCGGUAAUACGUAGGGGGCAAGCGUUAUCCGGAUUUACUGGGUGUAAAGGGAGCGUAGACGGCAUGGCAAGCCAGAUGUGAAAGCCCGGGGCUCAACCCCGGGACUGCAUUUGGAACUGUCAGGCUAGAGUGUCGGAGAGGAAAGCGGAAUUCCUAGUGUAGCGGUGAAAUGCGUAGAUAUUAGGAGGAACACCAGUGGCGAAGGCGGCUUACUGGACGGUAACUGACGUUGAGGCUCGAAAGCGUGGGGAGCAAACAGGAUUAGAUACCCUGGUAGUCCACGCCGUAAACG
rnacentral:rRNA from 1 species